CCGCGCUCCCCCCGCGCCGCCGCCCGGCCUCACGGGCCGGCUCCGCCGCUUCCGCCUUCCCCAUGCUGCCGGCGGCGGCGGCGGUCAGAGGGCAGAGGGCAGGGUUCACCCCCUCCCCGCGGCCGGCGGGCGGGCGGUGCUUCCCUUCCUUUCCCCUUCCCUUUUCCCCGGCGGCGGUGCCCGGCCGGGGCGGAAGGGAACGGCCGGCAUUGGGCUGGAUUCCGCCUGAGCGCCGCAGCUCCCUCCGUUCAGCGCUUUGUAGAGCGGAGGGAGAGCUCUGCGCCGCGGGAGUAUUCUUCGUUGCUUGAAGUCUAGACUGAGCAUGAUGCACUCGUCAAAUCAAAACAAGAAAUGCAUUUUAGGAAGGAAUAGGAAAUGGACUGGCAGUGUGCAAGAAGGUGCAUUACCUAUCGUUAAUGGAGAGAAAGUAUGGGAAGCUGGGAGCACCAACACUAGAGAACAAACAGAGUGCAAAUAAACACUGUUUUGAGACCAGCAACUCCAGCUUUGUUGGCUUUUCUUCAAUGUUCUGGCCCUUCUUUUCUCAGCUGUCUUCUUCUAGUCCUACACAGGUAGAGAGAGGCAAGGAAAAGGACAAUGCAGAGAGUGAUACAGGAGCUACAAGACUUCCUCACAGAGAAAUACUUCUUAUUGUGAUGUAGCUCUAAGAAUACGCUUUGGAAUUCAGCUUCAAAAGUAAUAUUCUGAGCUCAAAAAUCUUCUGAAAGAAGCAAAACCAUGGUCGAAUAUUCUCAGUAUAAGUGGACUUGGACAGAAAACAAGAUGCACUGACGAGAGAAAGUUUAAGAAGUGAUUGUUUAACACAGAACAACAGUGCAUAUCUAUGGUGUAUUUAAUAUGAAUCCAUAAUCCUCAUGUGUGCCAUCUAUCUCUAUUACACAUUCUUCCAAGCAUUCCUGGCCCAAAGGGUCAGUAUUUUAUUUUUUUUUUCAAAAAAAAA
ensembl:lncRNA